rnacentral:rRNA from 1 species
AUUGAACGCUGGCGGCAUGCCUAACACAUGCAAGUCGAACGAGUGGCGGACGGGUGAGUAAUGUCUUGGAAACUGCCCGACGGAGGGGGAUAACUACUGGAAACGGUAGCAAAUACCGCUUACCAUCGUAUGUGCCCAGAUGGGAUUAGCUAGUCGGUGGGGUACCGGCUCACCUAGGGGACGAUCCCUAGCUGGUCUGAGAGGAUGACCAGCCACACUGGGACUGAGACACGGCCCAGACUCCUACGGGAGGCAGCAGUGGGGAAGAUUGGGCAAUGGGCGAAAGCCUGAUGCAGCAACGCCGCGUGUAUGAAGAAGGCUUUCGGGUUGUAAAGCUCUGUCAGCGAGGAGGCGUUACUCGCAGAAGAAGCAACGGCUAACUCCGUGCCAGCAGCCGCGGUAAUAC